rnacentral:tRNA from 1 species
GGGUUUGUUCCUUGGGGUAAAGGACAUCUAGCUGAUAAUUAGAUUGUUGAAGGUUAGAUUCCUUCCAAGCUCU